AAUCUUGCGCAAUGGGCGAAAGCCUGACGCAGCCAUGCAGCGUGAAUGAUGAAGGUCUUAGGAUUGUAUAAUUCUUUCACCGGGGACGAUAAUGACGGUAACCGGAGAAGAAGCCUCGGCUAACUUCGUGCCAGCAGCCGCGGUAAUACGAAGGGGGUUAGCGUUGCUCGGAAUUACUGGGCGUAGGGGGCGCGUAGGCGGACAUUUAAGUCAGGGGUGAAAUCCCAGAGCUCAACGCUGGAACUACCUUUGAUACUGGGUGUCUUGAGUGUGAGAGAGGUAUGUGGAACUCCGAGUGUAGAGGUGAAAUUCGUAGAUAUUCGGAAGAACACCAGUGGCGAAGGCGACAUACUGGCUCAUUACUGACGCUGAGGCGCGAAAGCGUGGGGAGCAAACAG
rnacentral:rRNA from 1 species